rnacentral:rRNA from 1 species
UACGGGGGGGGUAAGUGUUGUUCGGAAUUACUGGGCGUAAAGGGCUCGUAGGCGGCCAACUAAGUCAUACGUGAAAUCCCUCAGCUUAACUGGGGAACUGCGUCUGAUACUGGAUGGCUUGAAUCCGGGAGAGGGAUGCGGAAUUCCAGGUGUAGCGGUGAAAUGCGUAGAUAUCUGGAGGAACACCGGUGGCGAAGGCGGCAUCCUGGACCGGCAUUGACGCUGAGGAGCGAAAGCCAGGGGAGCAAACGGG